UAGGGAAUAUUAGUAAUGGGCGAAAGCCUGAACUAGCAACACCGCGUGUGCGAAGAAGGCCUUCGGGUUGUAAAGCACUUUUUGAGAGGAUGAGGAAGGACGGUACUCUCAGAAUAAGUCUCGGCUAACUACGUGCCAGCAGCCGCGGUAACACGUAGGAGGCAAACGUUAUCCGGAUUUACUGGGCGUAAAGCGCGUGUAGGUGGUUUGGUAAGUAGAGCGUGAAAGCUCCUGGCUCAACUGGGAGAGGUCGUUCUAAACUGCCGGACUAGAGGAUGGUAGAGGGAGGUGGAAUUCCGGGUGUAGCGGUGGAAUGCGCAGAUAUCCGGAGGAACACCAGUGGCGAAAGCGGCCUCCUGGACCACUCCUGACACUGAGGCACGAAAGCUAGGGGAGCAAACA
rnacentral:rRNA from 1 species